rnacentral:rRNA from 1 species
UACGAAGGUGGCAAGCGUUACUCGGAAUUACUAGGCGUAAAGGGCAGGUAGGUGGCUUGAUAAGUCCGUUGUGAAAGCUCCUGGCUUAACUAGGAGAGGUCAACAGAAACUAUCGGGCUUGAGUAUGGGAGAGGGUACUGGAAUUCCCGGAGUAGCGGUGAAAUGCGCAGAUAUCGGGAGGAACACCAAUGGCGAAAGCAGGUGCCUGGACCAUUACUGACACUCAGCUGCGAAAGCUAGGGGAGCAAACAGG